rnacentral:RNase_P_RNA from 1 species
GAAGCGGGCCGAGCGACCGCGAGGGGAGAGAAAACCCUUCGAGGAAAGUCCGGACACCACAGGGCAGGGCGGUGGGUAACGCCCACCCGGGGAAACCCGCGGGAAAGUGCCACAGAAAUGACACAGCCGAUGGCGCGGCUGCAGCUGCGUCGCGCACAGGCAAUGGUGAAAUGGUGCGGUAAGAGCGCACCGGCGUCGCGGUGACGCGGCGGCCAGGCAAACCCCGCCCGGUGCAAGGCCAAGCAGGACCGUCGACCCGGCUCGGCGAGGUCCAGGUAGGCCGCAUAGAUAGAUGGCCGCUCAAGACAGGAUCCGGCUUACAGGCCCGCUACGGAA